GAAGAAACAUAUAUUUCUAAGGUUAUCAACAGUACAAUAAGGGCGUAUAUGUUUACAGUAAUAUAUAACGUUGUCAUAUAAAAACAGCACAGUAUUCAUAACACAAAUAUGCUAACUAAAUAUACACCCUAGCUAUUAAAAAGCUUUUUUUGUAUUCAUAGAGAUGAAACUUAGUGAGGAUGAUAACAAAGCUGUUUAAAG